GUAAAUAGCAUGGGCCCCCAGGAGGUGUGGCCGGAGGAUCCCUGAGAGCUCCGGUCACUUAACAGCCUCUCUGCUUCCCCGAGAUUUCACCUGGAGACCUUCAUUUCUUUGGGUCUGAAAUCCUUUUUGAUUUUCCAAAAUACUCUAGUUAAAAUGACAAUACCUCUGAGAGUGGUCACAUGAAACUUUGAGCCUACGCAUCAGCUAAAAGCUUAAGCGAAGGAGCAGAGAGUGAGGCCUUAGGAAAAGGGCACAGGAUGCACAAAGGUGGGCAAGAAGCAAGUGUGGACUCUGAAGCGGGAACCCACUUUGACUCCAUGGUGAUUUCACCUAAGGCCAGUGGGAAAGGGAGAAUAUUGUGUCUGCUGUUUACGGGUGUAUUACAAAUUACUCUGACACUUAGAAGCUUAAAGCAACAAUAAACAUUUAUCAUCUCACCCAGUUUCUGUGGGUCAAGAAUCUGAGAAUGGCUUAGUUAGGUGGUUCUGACUCCAGAUGUCUCGUGAGGGUGCAGGUGAGAGUGGGCUGGGGCCACAGUUUCAUCUGAAGGCUUGGCUGGGGCAGAAGGAUCUGCUCCAAGUUGACUCACUCACCUGGCUAUCGGCAAGAUGAUGCUGGCCAAUAGCAGGAGGCCUCAGUCCCUCCCCACAUGGACCUCCCCAUGGGGCUGCUUGCGUGUCCUCACAACGUGCUGGUCAGCUUCCUUCAGAGCAAAUGAGCUGAGAGGGAUUAAGAGAGAGAGAGCCGGCAGGAGCAAAGAGGAGGCUGCAGUGCCUUUUGUGACCUCACCUUAGCAGUCACACUCCUCCAUUUCUGCAGUGUCCUGCUGGCUACCCUCUUCAGUGUGGGCAGGUCCUACACGAAGGUGUGAACACCAGGUGGAGAUUGGUGGGAGCCAUCUUGGACGCUGACUUAUGGCUACCACAAGCAUCAUCUUUAUUUUACAGACAUACAAGAAUGGCUAAAAUUGCAAGAAAAGAAACCCGUCAAUACCAAACGUGGCAAUGCUUGGAGCAGCUGGAACUCUCCUACACUGAAGGUUGAAUAAACGUGAUACCAGGUGGAAGCUCAGAUCUACACGAGGAAUGAAGAAUGCCGGAAAUCAUAAAUAUAUGCUGAACUGCCAGAACCCAUGGACAUUUAGGACUCGAGUAAAUCACAGGACAAUAAGAGCAACCAAGUACGGCCUCGUCCAAGUACAGCUUUGCAGGUUUUCUGCCCUCUUUUCUGGAAGGUGCACAAUGCUCGGCUCUGUGGUUAUUUUCGCCUAACAGCUGUGUUUCCGGUGAGCAGCUGGGAGAUGCUUCUGACUCAGCAGAACUGGAGCAGUAACCGUCAAGAAGCCGCUCAAGCGAGGCUAGAAAUCAAGAAGCAGUUUCCCCCUCAGUCCCCGUCCUUUCACUUCCCCACCCGUGGGCACCUUUUGAAAGUCUCACAGAGCACUUCUGAAAAACCGCUUGGACCCGCGUGCUCGAGGCCUGGCUGGAGGUGGGCCCGCAGCUAGGCUUUCCGAAAACAGAUGGAUUCCGGAAAGGACUGUGCCAAACCCACCGGCUUUGUUUGGAAGGCCCCUCCCAGGAGGCCCCCCCUUCCCCGCGCGGCUUGUAUCUUACAAGUUUCCCACAGGUCUGAGCAGUGAAAGCAGAGGCGGUCGGGACUUCUGUGGUUUUCCAGGGUGGGGCCCAUGUUGCCUUCCCCAGGCUGGGGUGGCUUAGGUUCUGCAGCUCGCCUGUUUUUCAGAGGUGAUGAUUUCGCCCUGGGUCUGGGAGGCGGCUCCAAAUUUCUACCCACUGGCCCUGGAUUCCAGCCCUGACCUCGAGGGGGGCGCUAGAAGUCCUGCCCGCAGCGGGAAGGGAGCAAACCAGAGAGGACCUGGCGUCCUGGAGAGCUGGCCUCUGUGCAUGCUGGUGCCUGCAAAGGGCUCACGGGAGAGGGAGACAGCUGCACCCGGAGCGCCUUGCUGCUGUUCCGAGAAAGAAAGGAACAAAUAAAUUUAGCUCCAACCUACGCAUCCUUCACAGCUGCUUAUUGACCAAACAGAAAGGGGCCUCUCUUUCAACCCUGGCUUCUCAGCUCUGUGCCCAAGGAGGUCUGCCACGGCCCGCACAAGGGGCUUUUCUGGGAGGUAACCGACCCCGGCCACCUUUAGCUCUGGGCUGGGCGUUGCACAAGAGCUCAGGUUCAAGGUGCGUGGUGCUUUUGGCCAUCCUGAAACAAAAUGGUGGCCGGGAAGCGUUUCCACCCGGGCCUUGCUCAGCUCCUGGAACUUCUCAUGCGCGUCUUUGGGAGGCAGAGCAUGGGGCAGGCUUGAGGGAUGUGUGGCUGCUCCAAGGCCAGCCGAUAGCUCCCUGAGCCAUUAGUUUAAUAGCACCAUUCGUGGGAAUAAAGAACUCGCUGACGGGGGUCCGCAAGUUAAGAGACUGGAACGAAGUGCUGAAGAGGUUUCAGGCAGCUCGCCAGUGUGGAGGGGCUCCUGUGGGACAGGGAGGGCCGGCCCUGUGCUUCCAGUCACCGGAGUCUGGCUCAAGUCCUAGCUCCACCGCCUAAGGGCAGGGUGCCUCUGGGCAGGGAGAGCUGGCUCCUCACCUGGAAGUGAGAUGCUGGCCGUGACACUGGGCCCUUCUGAGCCUUGGCUCCUUACCUGGGAAGCAGAGAUAGUGAGGACAGAGCAGAACAGUUGUUUGUAAACAUGCUAAACGGAAGCACGUGGCUUACUCGUGUCAGUUCUUCUGGAAUGGUGAUGUAAGCUCGAGGACAAGGAGGGAGGAGGGGAAUCUGGCUGUUCUUCUCCAUUCCGGCAGGAUUCUACCUACAGGAGUCCCCAGCGGCCGCCUGCACCCGCAGACCAGAAAAAAAGCUGCAUAAAGUCUUGCUCUUUCUGCUCUGGGAAGCUGCUCCGUGAGUGUUAAGGUCUGCAUCCUAGGCGAAUAAUCAGAGAUGCACGGCAGGGCUGCGUGGUGGUCUCUGCCCUUGGACCCCUAACCACCUACAAAGCUUCAAGGAGGCGGGAAUCCGAGGUGUGAUUCCCCAGACUCGCUCGGCACCAUGUUGCUGCGUGGCCUUGGCCAAGUUCCUGCCUCUUUCUGAGCUACUGUUCCUCGUUUAUGAAUGAGUGAGAGGGCAAGGGUUGCAGAAAAUCACUGAUUUUUAAGCUCCAAAAAUAUGAGGAGCUGUUUGUUUAGAUAAAAGCGUACAAGGGAACUGAAUAUACACCCGGACACGAGAAUUUCUGCGUGAUUGACAUAGGAGUGGGGAGUCCUGUAGGGACAGCCACUGAGCUCUGUCACGCGUCCUCCUUGCUCCCCUCCGCUGUCUUCCUCCCUCCAGCGGCUCCCAGGAUGCACAGUUGAAAACUGCUGACUCGAAUGAAUUCAGGCGGCAGGGCUAGAGUCCCAGGGUGGGACAGAACAGGACGGGGUCCCCAAGGUGGUCUCCAGCAGCCUGGAGAAGGUAGAGGCCAGACCUGCAUUCAGGUCUGGCUGCCCCUUACUGGCAGCGUGACAUGCAAGUGCAGGGCAUCAGGUCUGUCUGCCCACCUAGUAUCCGUUCCUCCUUCAGGUAAGAGCAUCCUGAUGUGCUUUGGGGGAACCACUCAGUCUCCCUCCGUGUGGUUUAGCUAGGCUUUGGCAGUGAGCACAUGAUUGGGGCCUGCGCCAUCCCCCUUGCAGAGUCAUUGGUUUAGCAAUGGGAAACUGAACUAUCAGAGCUCACCAGACCUAACCCUGCGAUUUUUACAGCGGCAACCAGGAGAA
rnacentral:lncRNA from 1 species